GGGUUGUGAGGUUAAGCGACUAAGCGUACACGGUGGAUGCCCUGGCAGUCAGAGGCGAUGAAGGGCGUGCUAAUCUGCGAUAAGCGCCGGUAAGGUGAUAUGAACCGUUAUAACCGGCGAUACCCGAAUGGGGAAACCCAGUGUGACUCGUCACACUAUCAUUAACUGAAUCCAUAGGUUAAUGAGGCGAACCGGGGGAACUGAAACAUCUAAGUACCCCGAGGAAAAGAAAUCAACCGAGAUUCCCCCAGUAGCGGCGAGCGAACGGGGAGGAGCCCAGAGCCUGAAUCAGCAUGUGUGUUAGUGGAAGCGUCUGGAAAGGCGCGCGAUACAGGGUGACAGCCCCGUACACAAAAGCGCAUGUGCUGUGAGCUCGAUGAGUAGGGCGGGACACGUGGUAUCCUGUCUGAAUAUGGGGGGACCAUCCUCCAAGGCUAAAUACUCCUGACUGACCGAUAGUGAACCAGUACCGUGAGGGAAAGGCGAAAAGAACCCCGGCGAGGGGAGUGAAAAAGAACCUGAAACCGUGUACGUACAAGCAGUGGGAGCCCCACCACCAAAGCAUUCUCUGGUGUUGAAGGCCCUGCAAAGCAGCAUCGCGGUGGCGGAGCGUCGUUUGCGACGCCCAACACACAAAACAAGCGGUGAGUGCUUUGGGGUGGGGUGACUGCGUACCUUUUGUAUAAUGGGUCAGCGACUUAUAUUCUGUAGCAAGGUUAACCGAAUAGGGGAGCCGUAGGGAAACCGAGUCUUAACCGGGCGUUAAGUUGCAGGGUAUAGACCCGAAACCCGGUGAUCUAGCCAUGGGCAGGUUGAAGGUUGGGUAACACUAACUGGAGGACCGAACCGACUAAUGUUGAAAAAUUAGCGGAUGACCUGUGGCUGGGGGUGAAAGGCCAAUCAAACCGGGAGAUAGCUGGUUCUCCCCGAAAGCUAUUUAGGUAGCGCCUCGUGAAUUCAUCUCCGGGGGUAGAGCACUGUUUCGGCUAGGGGGCCAUCCCGGCUUACCAACCCGAUGCAAACUGCGAAUACCGGAGAAUGUUAUCACGGGAGACACACGGCGGGUGCUAACGUCCGUCGUGAAGAGGGAAACAACCCAGACCGCCAGCUAAGGUCCCAAAGUCAUGGUUAAGUGGGAAACGAUGUGGGAAGGCCCAGACAGCCAGGAUGUUGGCUUAGAAGCAGCCAUCAUUUAAAGAAAGCGUAAUAGCUCACUGGUCGAGUCGGCCUGCGCGGAAGAUGUAACGGGGCUAAACCAUGCACCGAAGCUGCGGCAGCGACGCUGAUGCGUUGUUGGGUAGGGGAGCGUUCUGUAAGCCUGUGAAGGUGGCCUGUGAGGGUUGCUGGAGGUAUCAGAAGUGCGAAUGCUGACAUAAGUAACGAUAAAGCGGGUGAAAAGCCCGCUCGCCGGAAGACCAAGGGUUCCUGUCCAACGUUAAUCGGGGCAGGGUGAGUCGACCCCUAAGGCGAGGCCGAAAGGCGUAGUCGAUGGGAAACGGGUUAAUAUUCCCGUACUUGGUGUUACUGCGAAGGGGGGACGGAGAAGGCUAUGUUGGCCGGGCGACGGUUGUCCCGGUUUAAGCGUGUAGGUGUGUGUUCCAGGUAAAUCCGGUUCACUUUAACACUGAGGCGUGAUGACGAGGCACUACGGUGCUGAAGCAACAAAUGCCCUGCUUCCAGGAAAAGCCUCUAAGCAUCAGGUAACAUCAAAUCGUACCCCAAACCGACACAGGUGGUCAGGUAGAGAAUACCAAGGCGCUUGAGAGAACUCGGGUGAAGGAACUAGGCAAAAUGGUGCCGUAACUUCGGGAGAAGGCACGCUGACACGUAGGUGAAGUGAUUUACUCAUGG
rnacentral:rRNA from 1 species